rnacentral:rRNA from 1 species
CCGGUAAACGGCGGCCGUAACUAUAACGGUCCUAAGGUAGCGAAAUUCCUUGUCGGGUAAGUUCCGACCUGCACGAAUGGCGUAAUGAUGGCCAGGCUGUCUCCACCCGAGACUCAGUGAAAUUGAACUCGCUGUGAAGAUGCAGUGUACCCGCGGCAAGACGGAAAGACCCCGUGAACCUUUACUAUAGCUUGACACUGAACAUUGAGCCUUGAUGUGUAGGAUAGGUGGGAGGCUUAGAAGUGUGGACGCCAGUCUGCAUGGAGCCGACCUUGAAAUACCACCCUUUAAUGUUUGAUGUUCUAACGUUGACCCGUAAUCCGGGUUGCGGACAGUGUCUGGUGGGUAGUUUGACUGGGGCGGUCUCCUCCUAAAGAGUAACGGAGGAGCACGAAGGUUGGCUAAUCCUGGUCGGACAUCAGGAGGUUAGUGCAAUGGCAUAAGCCAGCUUGACUGCGAGCGUGACGGCGCGAGCAGGUGCGAAAGCAGGUCAUAGUGAUCCGGUGGUUCUGAAUGGAAGGGCCAUCGCUCAACGGAUAAAAGGUACUCCGGGGAUAACAGGCUGAUACCGCCCAAGAGUUCAUAUCGACGGCGGUGUUUGGCACCUCGAUGUCGGCUCAUCACAUCCUGGGGCUGAAGUAGGUCCCAAGGGUAUGGCUGUUCGCCAUUUAAAGUGGUACGCGAGCUGGGUUUAGAACGUCGUGAGACAGUUCGGUCCCUAUCUGCCGUGGGCGCUGGAGAACUGAGGGGGGCUGCUCCUAGUACGAGAGGACCGGAGUGGACGCAUCACUGGUGUUCGGGUUGUCAUGCCAAUGGCACUGCCCGGUAGCUAAAUGCGGAAGAGAUAAGUGCUGAAAGCAUCUAAGCACGAAACUUGCCCCGAGAUGAGUUCUCCCUGACUCCUUGAGAGUCCUGAAGGAACGUUGAAGACGACGACGUUGAUAGGCCGGGUGUGUAAGCGCAGCGAUGCGUUGAGCUAACCGGUACUAAUGAACCGUGAGG